CUGUAAUGAUCCGUCUGAUAAGGGUCGGACUUCCCAGCCUCCCUGAACGCAACCUAAUUUUCCCACUCUGAUUGGUAAUACGCUUCACCUGUUUGAUGCCCUUUAAAUACCUGCCUGUGACAGCGUUUCUUCGCCAGAUCGUCUUGGUUCUACCCUGCACGUUUCCAGCCGUUGUUCUACCUGUCUGCCUGCCUACCUGCCUGUUGUUGACCUUGUUUUGGACCUGGAUUAUCGUCUCUGCCUGCCCCCUGACUGGUAUCUCUGUUUGUUAUUGGAUUUCUGGAUUAUUGACCCCUGGACUGGUUUUUGGAUGUGGAUUUUGGAUCACGGAAUAAUCUACUCUGCCCAGACGGAGAUAUUCAUUAUCACCCACUUCCGUGGGUUGGAGACCCUGACCCCCGCCAAUUAUUCCCCCACUAACCUGUUCUUUACCCAGCAGUUAUCCACCCACUCCAGUGGACUCCCCGUCCGGCUUCCCGGGUUCUGCCUGUACGAUCUCACCAAACUGCACUACAGCACCCGAAGAGCUGACCGAACGAGACCGGAUAGAUCACCAGUGCACAUUUACAUUGUUCAAAUAAAUUCCUUUUUACCUUU